rnacentral:rRNA from 1 species
UACGUAGGGGGCUAGCGUUGUCCGGAAUCAUUGGGCGUAAAGCGCGUGUAGGCGGCCCGAUAAGUCCGCUGUGAAAGUCCAGGGCUCAACCCUGGGAUGCCGGUGGAUACUGUCGGGCUCGAGUCCGGAAGAGGCGAGUGGAAUUCCUGGUGUAGCGGUGAAAUGCGCAGAUAUCAGGAGGAACACCAAUGGCGAAGGCAGCUCGCUGGGACGUGACUGACGCUGAGGAACGAAAGCUAGGGGAGCAAACAGG